rnacentral:rRNA from 1 species
AUGAGCUAUUGCAGAGGUUGUCGAUGGUAUAGAAGCAAUUUUCUCAAUUGUUUGGUGUGGAACUGCCGAGGGAUUGGAGGCUCUCGAACAAUUUGUGAUCUCGUGUCACUCAACUCAGCUCAUCGUCCGAGCUUUAUUUUUCUUUGUGAAACUAGACAAAAUUAAGAUAAAGUUAGGCACCUAUGCAAUCGAUUAGGUUUGUGUGGCUUUGCUGAAGUGAGUAGUGUUGGCUUUAGUGGUGGUUUAGCUCUUUUUUGGGAUGAUCAGAUGUGUGUUGAAGUAAAAGAUCUUAAUAAAAGAUACAACGAUGAGUUCGUGCGAGCUUGUCCGGAUGAUAUUCAGUGGAGAUUGACAUGUGUCUAUGGCGAACCUAGAGUAGAGAAUAGGCACCUGAUGUGGGGGAAACUUAGGAAUUUGAAGGAUACAUCUAAUCUGCCAUGGGCAGUAGUGGGGGACUUUCAUGAAGCUCUUUGGGAAUUUGAACACUUUUCCUUUACUACUCAUUCGGAGUCUCAGAUGAUGGCUUUUCGUGAUGCUCUAGAGGAUUGCGGCAUCGCCGACAUGGGUUUCAAAGGGGUACCUUUUACAUAUGAUAACAAGCGAGGGGGGCGGCGCAACGUCAAAGUGCGCCUUGACCGGCUCGUGGCAAGUGAUACAUGGCACGUCAUUGCUUAA